rnacentral:sRNA from 1 species
GAGAAGCUUCGACUAAGGUUCGACUCGAGCGAAGCGAGAGAACGUUGCCGCAGGCAAUGGCCCGAAGGCGAGGCGCUUUAGCGCCGAGUAAUCCUUCCCCCACCACUG